rnacentral:rRNA from 1 species
GAUGGACCCGCGUCUGAUUAGCUGGUUGGCGAGGUAACGGCUCACCAAGGCGACGAUCAGUAGCCGGCCUGAGAGGGUGAACGGCCACAUUGGGACUGAGACACGGCCCAAACUCCUACGGGAGGCAGCAGUGGGGAAUAUUGCACAAUGGGGGAAACCCUGAUGCAGCAACGCCGCGUGAGUGAAGAAGUCAUUCGUGAUGUAAAGCUCUAUCAGCAGGGAAGAAAAUGACGGUACCUGACUAAGAAGCCCCGGCUAACUACGUGCCAGCAGCCGCGGUAAUACGUAGGGGGCAAGCGUUAUCCGGAUUUACUGGGUGUAAAGGGAGCGUAGACGGCGACGCAAGUCUGAAGUGAAAUGCCAGUGCUCAACACUGGAACUGCUUUGGAAACUGUGUGGCUAGAGUGCAGGAGAGGUAAGUGGAAUUCCUAGUGUAGCGGUGAAAUGCGUAGAUAUUAGGAGGAACACCAGUGGCGAAGGCGGCUUACUGGACUGUAACUGACGUUGAGGCUCGAAGGCGUGGGGAGCAAACAGGAUUAGAUACCCUGGUAGUCCACGCGGUAAACGAUGA